UACAGAGGGUGCGAGCGUUAAUCGGAAUUACUGGGCGUAAAGCGUGCGUAGACGGCUAUCUAAGUCGGGUGUGAAAGCCCCGGGCUCAACCUGGGAAUUGCAUUCGAGACUGAAUAGCUAGGGUACGGUAGAGGGAAGCGGAAUUUCCGGUGUAGCGGUGAAAUGCGUAGAUAUCGUAAGGAAGACCAGCGGCGAAGGCGAGUUCCUGGACAGUUACUGACGCUGAGGCACGAAGGCCAGGGGAGCAAACGGG
rnacentral:rRNA from 1 species